rnacentral:rRNA from 1 species
ACAACGACUCUCGGCAACGGAUAUCUCGGCUCUCGCAUCGAUGAAGAACGUAGCGAACUGCGAUACUUGGUGUGAAUUGCAGAAUCCCGUGAACCAUCGAGUCUUUGAACGCAAGUUGCGCCCGAAACCGUUUGGUCGAGGGCACGUUUGCCUGGGUGUCACA